UUUUGGUAGCACACCACAGUAAUGUAAGCCACAGCUUCGAAUGGCCAGGGAGGAUUUCUUGGAUAUAGUGAAUAUUCUGGAUUUAAAUGACUGGUUGUCUUUAAAAUGCAUUUUCAGCAUAAAAUUUGUUUUUGUGACAUCUAAUAUGAUCACUGGCAAAUUCGAAAACAUGGCCAGAAAUCACAUGCUGUUGAUUAUGAAUGUCAAGGCCGCCAUUUUUUGUAAACAUUGCUUUUAUACAGCAUGCACGGUAAAAAGAAGUCAUUUUACAGGGGGGUACAAACUUUUAGCAGUAGCAAAAAAUCUACAAGGUUGAGGACUAGUUUCUUUGUGAUAUUUUGCAUGUAUAGGGAGUUGCUAAAGCAGAGACGGUGUUCCUUUAGCCUGUAUAUUUGCAGAUAUUUUUUGCCAGAGGGUCGAAAUGUGUUGUUUUGGGUCUCGGGCCACUGUAGAUUUUGGGCUUCAACGGAAUGAAUUGCAAAUUUUUUGACUGCCUGCCUAUUGCAGAUGGGAUAAUUUCUUUGUAGAUUUGCAAUCUUAUGUCAUAUAUGUUCUCAACAAAAUGUGUUUUCUUUUUCCAGGUUGUGUAGUUUGGUAUCAGAAUUAUUAGAAGUAUUGCUUGUAGGACAUUGACGGCAGGAACUUGAAAUUAACUGUGGAGUGCUACCUUAAGGUUGUGUAGUUUGGUAUCAGAAUUAUUAGACGUAUUGCUUGUAGGACAUUGACGGCAGGAACUUGAAAUUAACUGUGGAGUGCUACCUUUG